GACGAACGCUGGCGGCGUGCUUAACACAUGCAAGUCGAACGAUGAAGUUCCUUCGGGAAUGGAUUAGUGGCGAACGGGUGAGGAACACGUGAGAAACCUGCCUUUCAUUUUGGGAUAACUCCGGGAAGCCGGGGCUAAAACCGAAUACUCCGUCUCGGCGGCAUCGCUGAGCCGGGAAAAAAUUUUGAUGAAAGAUGGUCUCGCGGCCUAUCAGCUAGUUGGUGAGGUAAUGGCUCACCAAGGCAACGACGGGUAGCCGGCCUGAGAGGGCGACCGGCCACACUGGGACUGAGACACGGCCCAGACUCCUACGGGAGGGAGCAGUGGGGAAUAUUGGGCAAUGGGCGCAAGCCUGACCCAGCGACGCCGCGUGAGGGAUGAAGGCCUUCGGGUUGUAAACCUCUUUCAGUAGGGAAGAAGCGAAAGUGACGGUACCUAAAGAAGAAGCACCGGCUAACUAUGUGCCAGCCGCCGCAGUAA
rnacentral:rRNA from 1 species